rnacentral:lncRNA from 1 species
GCUAAAAAAUUAAUAACUUAAAAAAUAAAAUUUCCUACCACUUCUAUUAAAACAUGUGAUGUACAACUUAUAUUCCCGUCACAAUGAAAAAUUUCUCAUAAAACACGACUUUUGUUCAUAAUCUCCGGCGGAUUUCAAUAUACUUUUGGUUCACUUGAAAAAGGUUUUUGACUUUAUUAUGCCAUGGAUUUUAUUGGUCAAAUAGACAUCUCACUUUCACACUUUAUGUCUUUUUUUGGUCUAAAUAUUUAUUUAUUUUAUAGGAUAUUUCAAAUAAAUGCUCUUAGUAUUUGAGCUAUAAGUUUUUUUUUACAGAGUUAGUAAAAGUUUUCAGAAUUCAUAUAUAUUUUAACUUUUUUUUGUUACUCAUAGAUUUUAUCCUGAUAGUAAGUU